rnacentral:rRNA from 1 species
GCUCCAGACUCCUACGGGAGGCAGCAGUGGGGAAUCCUCCGCAAUGGGCGAAAGCCUGACGGAGCAACGCCGCGUGAUCGAAUGAAGGCCUUCGGGUUGUAAAGAUCUGUUGACAGGAACGAAUAAGCAAUGCGAAUAGUUUUGUGUAUGACGGUACCUGUUUAGAAAGCUCCGGCUAACUACGUGCCAGCAGCCGCGGUAAUACGUAGGGAGCAAGCGUUGUCCGGAAUUACUGGGCGUAAAGGGCGCGUAGGUGGGCGCUUAAGUCAGGUGUGAAAACCACGGGCUCAACCUGUGGCCUGCAUUUGAAACUGUGUUUCUUGAGUACUGGAGAGGCAGACGGAAUUCCUAGUGUAGCGGUGAAAUGCGUAGAUAUUAGGAGGAACACCAGUGGCGAAGGCGGUCUGCUGGACAGCAACUGACGCUGAGGCGCGAAAGCGUGGGGAGCAAACAGGAUUAGAUACCCGAGUAC